GGGCCCGCACAAGCGGCGGAGCAUGCGGAUUAAUUCGAUGCAACGCGAAGAACCUUACCUGGGUUUGACAUCGCCGGAAAUCUUCCAGAGAUGGGGGGUCCUUCGGGGUCGGUGACAGGUGGUGCAUGGCUGUCGUCAGCUCGUGUCGUGAGAUGUUGGGUUAAGUCCCGCAACGAGCGCAACCCUCGUUCGAUGUUGCCAGCGGUUCGGCCGGGGACUCAUCGAAGACUGCCGGGGUCAACUCGGAGGAAGGUGGGGAUGACGUCAAGUCAUCAUGCCCCUUAUGUCCAGGGCUUCACGCAUGCUACAAUGGCCGGUACAAAGGGCUGCGAUACCGUGAGGUGGAGCGAAUCCCAAAAAGCCGGUCUCAGUUCGGAUCGGGGUCUGCAACUCGACCCCGUGAAGUCGGAGUCGCUAGUAAUCGCAGAUCAGCAACGCUGCGGUGAAUACGUUCCCGGGCCUU
rnacentral:rRNA from 1 species